CUCUCAAAUCAUGUAGGACUACCCGCUGAACUUGACGCAUAUCAAUAAGCGGAGGGAAAAAGAAACUAACAGGGAUUCCCUCUAGUAACUGCGAGUGAAGCGGGAAAAGCUCANAUUUGAAAUCUGGCAGCUCUCGACUGUCCGAGUUGUAAUCUAGAGAAGUGUUACCUGUGCUGGACUGUGUACAAGUCUCCUGGAAUGGAGCGUCACAGAGGGUGAGAAUCCCGUCUUUGACACGGACUGCCUGCGUGAUAUGGUGCGCUCUCAAAGAGUCGAGUUGUUUGGGAAUGCAGCUCAAAAUGGGUGGUAAAUGCCAUCUAAAGCUAAAUAUUGGCGAGAGACCGAUAGCGAACAAGUGCCGUGAGGGAAAGAUGAAAAGAACUUUGGAAAGAGAGUUAAACAGUACGUGAAAUUGCUGAAAGGGAAACGCUUGAAGUCAGUCGCGUCGGCUAGAAAUCAGCYUUGCUYUUGCACGGUGUACUUUCUGGUCGACGGGUCAGCAUCAAUUUUGAUCAUCGGAUAAAGUCUUUGGGAAUGUGGCAUCUCAGGAUGUGUUAUAGCCCAUUGUCGCAUACGAUGGUUGGGAUUGAGGAACUCAGCACGCCCGCAAGGCCGGGUUUCGACCAYGUUCGUGCUUAGGAUGCCGGCAUAAUGGCUUUAAUCGACC
rnacentral:rRNA from 1 species